rnacentral:misc_RNA from 1 species
ACACCUCAACUCUCAUGGUUUGCCAUGAUGAGCUUGGACUCUGGGGGUUUUGCUGGCCUGCUGUCGGCUCCUCUGAAAUGAAUCAGCUUGCCAGUGUUUGGUGGCAUCAUGGGUGUGAUAACUAUCUACGCUUGUGGUUGUCUGCCAGGUAACCUUCAGUGAUGGGGGUUCGCUGGUGCUUAUAAACGUCUCUCCUCAGCGAAGACAGCUCUUUGAAU